rnacentral:rRNA from 1 species
GACGAACGCUGGCGGCGUGCUUAACACAUGCAAGUCGAACGGAAAGGCCCUGCUUUUGUGGGGUGCUCGAGUGGCGAACGGGUGAGUAACACGUGAGUAACCUGCCCUUGACUUUGGGAUAACUUCAGGAAACUGGGGCUAAUACCGGAUAGGAGCUCCUGCUGCAUGGUGGGGGUUGGAAAGUUUCGGCGGUUGGGGAUGGACUCGCGGCUUAUCAGCUUGUUGGUGGGGUAGUGGCUUACCAAGGCUUUGACGGGUAGCCGGCCUGAGAGGGUGAACGGCCACAUUGGGACUAAGGUACGGCCCAGACUCCUACGGUAGGCAGCAGUGGGGAAUAUUGCACAGUGGGCGGAAGCCUGAUGCAGCAACGCCGCGUGCGGGAUGACGGCCUUCGGGUUGUAAACCGCUUUCGCCUGUGACGAAGCGUGAGUGACGGUAAUGGGUAAAGAAGCACCGGCUAACUACGUG